UUCGCCUUGUAUGUUUAAAACUGUUAUUUGAUAUGUUGAGUGAAUUAUGGAGACAGGAAAGGCAGCGGUUACCUGUAUUUCCCUGGAGUUGUCAACAGGUGGCGCUAUGUGUGUUGCGUACGAGAUUAUGCGCAUGCAUUCUCACCUCGGUCAUUGUUUUGAUAGACAUGCAACGAGUAGUGUGAGAGAGACGCUCACUCUCUGGGAACGGUGUACAACAGUAUGUUGAGCAUUUCAACCCUCGUGAGGUGAAUGUGAUGUUCUGUAGGAGCUGAUUGUUACGCUCUUCACCAAUCAGCUGAUUGAACUUCUAUUCAAUAUGAAGGGAAGGGCAAAAAGAUAAAAUUUGAAUUGAAGACAAUAAAUUGUUUUCAGCAAUAAAAGCUGCUGUCAUGAAAUGGGACCCAGCUGCUACAGAGGCCCAAAUAAAGUCUGCUGCAUCUGAUCAUCUGAAACAUGCCCCGGGAGAGUCAGGGGUGGUGGCUGUAAAUGAAUAUAUUGUGGACCUUAUAGCAGCCACAUUUUGUUAAUUGUUUACUGUUUUAACAAAAUUUUAUAGCACUUUUAUUUAUAACUUUACUGUUCAGGUUUUAAGUUGUAUUGUGUUAAUUUAUACUUGACUGUUCAGGUUUUAAGUUGUAUUGUGUUAAUUUAUACUUGACUGUUCAGGUUUUAAGUUGUAUUGUGUUAAUUUAUACUUUACUGUUCUGGUUUUAAGCUUGGGUAAAAUUUGUAAUAAAAAUAUAUU